AACGAACGCUGGCGGCAUGCCUAACACAUGCAAGUCGAACGAGACCUUCGGGUCUAGUGGCGCACGGGUGCGUAACGCGUGGGAACCUGCCCUUAGGUUCGGAAUAACUCCCCGAAAGGGGUGCUAAUACCGGAUAAUGUCUUCGGACCAAAGAUUUAUCGCCUUGGGAUGGGCCCGCGUUGGAUUAGCUAGUUGGUAGGGUAAAAGCCUACCAAGGCGACGAUCCAUAGCUGGUCUGAGAGGAUGAUCAGCCACACUGGGACUGAGACACGGCCCAGACUCCUACGGGAAGCAGCAGUGGGGAAUAUUGGACAAUGGGCGAAAGCAUGAUCCAGCAAUGCCGCGUGAGUGAUGAAGGCCUGAGGGUUGUAAAGCUCUUUUACCCGGGAGGAUAAUGACAGUACCGGGAGAAUAAGCUCCGGCUAACUCCGUG
rnacentral:rRNA from 1 species